rnacentral:rRNA from 1 species
GGGUGCAAUUAUAACAACAAUGAUGCACCGGAUCCCGUCAGAUCUCCGAAGUUAAACGUGCUUGGGCGAGAGUAGUACUAAGAUGGGUGACCUCUUGGGAAGUCCUCGUGUUGCACUCC